AGUGAACGCUGGCGGUAGACCUAACACAUGCAAGUCGAACGGCAGCACAGUAAGAGCUUGCUCUUACGGGUGGCGAGUGGCGGACGGGUGAGGAAUACAUCGGAAUCUACUUUUUCGUGGGGGAUAACGUAGGGAAACUUACGCUAAUACCGCAUACGACCUACGGGUGAAAGCAGGGGAUCUUCGGACCUUGCGCGAUUGAAUGAGCCGAUGUCGGAUUAGCUAGUUGGCGGGGUAAAGGCCCACCAAGGCGACGAUCCGUAGCUGGUCUGAGAGGAUGAGCAGCCACACUGGAACUGAGACACGGUCCAGACUCCUACGGGAGGCACCAGUGGGGAAUAUGGGACAAUGGGCGCAAGCCUGAUCCAGCCAUACCGCGUGGGUGAAGAAGGCCUUCGGGUUGUAAAGCCCUUUUGUUGGGAAAGAAAAGCAGCAGGUUAAUACCCCGCUGUUCUGACGGUACCCAAAGAAUAAGCACCGGCUAACUUCGUG
rnacentral:rRNA from 1 species